rnacentral:lncRNA from 13 species
GUGGAUUUUCGUUACAAGAAUACCCUUGAUGGUUGUGAGUACUACGAUCCCUAAAUAUGUUUCUCAGGGAACUGUGGGUAUUUAACCAGAAAUUUGAGUCCCAAUUGACAGCAGCACCAAUGGGAGGAGUUGGAGGAACAACUGGUGUGAACAGGAAACUGUCAUGACCAGAAAUGUUCCCAGUGAUAGUCCUUUUCAAAUGAGGCGAGUUAAUAAUUCAUUUUCUAGUUUGUAGUAUUAAAGAUGUAGAUGUUUGAGUCCAAUUGUCCUUGUAGCAGUCAAUACAGCUGCUGUUGGAUCAGCACAGUAAACAGCAUGAGAAAUUGGAGACUACUGACACAGGUGGAUCUGGGAAUAAGAUCUGAUAUGGGUGGACCCAACAGAUCUCCAGUCACAGGCGUUCUUCCUUUCAUACGUGUUUCCCAGAACUGUCCGAGGUCCAACAACAAGCUUCUCCCUGGACCAGGGCUCUUGCACUUUACAAUAUGGCAACACCUCGAUGGCUGGUGUCUACAGGUUUGAGCUAGUUGUGGAAGACUUCCCCAACCAACACAUCACCCUGUCUUACGCAGAUGACUCUAGGUCCUCCAGGGCUCCACUCUAUGCAGGAAGACAUCAACGCGCUGCCAUCUACCAAGCAAUAACCACAGGGACAACCACCAUCACCUGACCCACCACCACCUAGCCCACCACCACCACCAAAAAUAUCUAAAUGAGGCAACAAAAAAAAAGGAAUAAUCGCACCCCCUGUCUUUCCGUGGUCCCUGAGUAACGUGCGCAGGUAGCCUAUAUUUGCAUUGUGUGACCCCCUCAACCCUCUUUUUACGCUGUUGCUACUCUCUGUUUAUCAUAUAUGCACAUUCAUGUACAUACUACCUCAAUUGGGCCGAUCAACCAGUGCUCCCACACAUUGGAUAACCGGUGCCAUCUGCAUUGUGUCCCACCCACCACCUGCCAACCCCUCUUUUACGUUACUGCUACUCUCUGUUCAUCAUAUAUGCAUAGUCACUUUAACCAUAUCUACAUGCACAUACUACCUCAAUCAGCCUGACUAACCGGUGUCUGUAUGUAGCCUCGCUACUGUAUAUAGCCUGUCUUUUUACUGUUGUUUUAUUUCUUUACUUACCUAUUAUUCACCUAAUACCUUUUUUGCACUAUUGGUUAGAGCCUGUAAGUAAGCAUUUCACUGUAAGGUCUACAACUGUUGUAUUCGGCGCAUGUGACAAAUAAACUUUGAUUUGAUUUAUAUGAGCCUUUUGAAGUAGCUUAAUUGUUUGACAGUCAGAUGAAAACAUAAUGACUGGUUGUGUUUAUGCCACGUUAAAAGGUAGGCUAAUAUAUGUAAAAAUUUAAACAACAAAUGUUUACUAUUAGAUCCUUAGAGAUCCUAUUAAAUGAAUACGGAUUCUAUAGGCCUAUGUAAUUCAUAAAAAAGCACGUGCACACAUAGGAGGUCCCUGUACCAGGAUGAAAUGUAAUCUACUUUCACCCAUGCUUAAAUCAUUUCAGAUCUAGCAUCUAUCAAUCUGAGAUGAGAUGUGUCCUAGUGGAGGUCGGACGUACAAAUGAAUGAUAUGAAUAAAACCCAAAAGUACUCGUUACAUGUUGAAAGCUUAGCAGGACAAGAAAAUGGUCCAAUUCAUGCACUUACUAAGAGAACAUCGCUGGUCAUCCCUACCUCCUCAUGAUUCCUGUAAUGACUGUGUCUGCCCUGCCCCUGUGCCAUCUCUGGGGCAUGCUGAUGUGAAGGGCGAGCCACUUUCUUCUCCACCCAUGCGGUCGAGAGAAAUGCAUUCCGAUCAUAUACUGUGACAUUUCAAAAUGCAAUUGAGGGAAAACACUGCUUUGGAUGCUUUGUCCACUUGUCCCUGCCGAAGAGAGGGGGCUCUCAGCUUACUGUAGGACAUACAAAUGGUGGGUAUAGAUUAUUCUAUGAUCAUGAAUGAUAUGAAUGACACCCAAAAGUACUCGUUACAUGUUGAAAGCUUAGCAGGACAGGGAAAUGGUCAAAUUCAUGCACUUAUUAAGAGAACAUCCCUGGUCAUCCCAACCGCCUCUAAUCUGGCUGGCUCACUAACCACAACAACUUUGUUUGUAAAUGAGUGUUGGAGUGUGCCCCUGGCUAUCCGUAAAUAAAAAACAAGAAAAUUGUGUCAUCUGGUUUGCUUAACAUAAGGAAUUUGAAAUGAUUAAUAAUUUGACUUUUGAUAAUUAAGUAUAUGUAAAAGCAAAUACUUUUAGACUUUUACUCAAGUAUUAUUUUACUGGGUGACUUUCACUUUUACUUGAGACAUUUUCUAUUAAGGUAUCUUAACAUCUACUCAAGUAUGACAAUUGGGUACUUUUUCCUCCAUUGGUUUUUGAUCACA